GUUUGAGCACCGUUUAAGCACCGGCACCGUUUCAAAAGUACCGGUUUGGCACCGGUAUCGGAUAAAACCUAAACGAUACCCAUCCCUAUUCCUACCUUAGUUUCAUCAAAAACACUCAAAAUAUGUUGGAUGGUUUUUUGUUUCUGACUUCCUGGUUGGGAAAGGGAUAAGAAGAGCCAACCGUUUACAUUCACAGUGCCUUCUGGUGGAUUUUUGGGGCAUUACAGAUGUAAACCAAUUGGUAGAAAAGACUUAAUAAGUGAUUCGGGCAGUACUUCUGGACUUCACCUUUAUCUUCAUCUCAGGAGAAAGUUUUGAACAGCAUCCCCCCGGGUCACAGUGAUGAUGGCAGGGUGCCAAAGGGAAGACAGCGCCUGUGGUGGAGGAGAGCAGGGAGGAAGGAAAGAAGACUCAGAGCUGGCAUAAUCACCAGGGGCAUUGAGCUAAUGAACACACCGCAGGAGCAAUAACAAUAACAACAGGAGGGAUCAGCUUCUCAACUCCUAACAGGAGGGAAGAGGACCUACUGCACAACUGUCAUUAUGGUCUUUUUCAACAACAGCAGAAACAACAGGAGAGCUGAGCUCCAAUACCAGGCAGGAGGGAAGAGAAUAUAUUCUGUAUAACUGUCGUUAAUUCAUAUUUAGAUGUUAAUUGUUUAAGUCAACCAACAGGUAUCAUAAUUGCUCUACCAAUUAAAACGCC
ensembl:lncRNA